rnacentral:rRNA from 1 species
UCAUUGCUGGAACAAACGCCCUCGCGGGUGCUACCCAGAAACCCUUUGUGCAUACUACCUAAAACGUUGCCUCGGCAGUGGUUGGCCUCUCCAGAGGCCCCUUCUCGCGGGAAGGAGCAGACCGGCCGGUGGCCCUUAUAAACUCUUGUUUUUGUAAUAUCAUCUGAGUAAAACAACUAAAAUGAAUCAAAACUUUCAACAACGGAUCUCUUGGUUCUGGCAUCGAUGAAGAACGCAGCGAAAUGCGAUAAGUAAUGUGAAUUGCAGAAUUCAGUGAAUCAUCGAAUCUUUGAACGCACAUUGCGCCCGGUGGUAUUCCACCGGGCAUGCCUGUUCGAGCGUCAUUUCAACCCUCAAAGCCCCAGGCUUUGGUGUUGGAGGCGUACCCUGUCAAAAGGGUACCCUCUGAAAUUUAGUGGCGGGCUCGCUAGAAUUUUGAGCGUAGUAAUUUCACCUCGUUUGUAAACACUAGUGGGACUUUCUUGCCGUAAAACCCCCCCAACUU